CUGGUACUUUUGCUUUUCAAAUAGAAAGAAGUCUGAUAUGAUUUUCUAAAAUAGAAGUUUUGCACACGACUACUUUCACUUUCAUUAGGCUGCUCUCCUCGUAACCCAAACUGGUUUAUGUUAGGAGAAAACAGUUUGAUGUCAGUGCGUGUCAUUUGGAAAGGAGCCUAUUUAAACUGGGCAUUAUAAGGAACUCAUAGUGCUUCCUCUGUUUGUUUCACAGCAUAAAAGACAUUGGUCCUGGUGGUAAAGAGACCUAGUGGAAGACACCAUUGCUGAUCUCCUGGGCAAAGUAGGGCAGAGGGCAUGGCACAGAGUGGACUCUUACAAGAAACUCCAGGCCUAGAAAAUCACAAACUCAGCUUGGUUCUGGUUUCUACAGCUACCUGGACUCAAAGACUUGCACCGCUCUCUGUGUAAAUACUAGAAAUGUUACAAAUCUUUUUGCUUUUCUUUAAAAAAAAAAAAAAGUGUUUCUUCCCAAUUCUUUAAAAUAGAAAUUUCAAAAUGUAAAUACUUUUUCUGUUUACUUUAAAUCAUUUGAUUUUUUUAAACUUAAUUUUAAAAAUGGCCCGCACACAGCGUGGGAAUGUCGGGGCAACCGUGAAACCGCACUCUGCCGGACCCUCUGGCUCUUCCCGUCGAACAUACAGAGAAGGCUCUCUUAGAUCUGUACCUCCCUCGCUGCAUGCUGCCAGAAGAUCACUACCCUCUCCAUAAAAAUCUACCUGGCAAAUAGAGGCUGGAAGUCGUACAGAAAUAAUCAUCAAGCCUGACAGUUCGGAUGAUUCUGAGGCCCAAAUCCCUGCCUCCCAGGGUAACGUCAGGGCCAACUCUGGGGGUAGUACUGCUUUGACUGCUAAAAUGAUGCGGGGCCAGCAUGUUGCUUGCUGAACUGGCUCCUUUAUGAGAGAGAUACAUCAUCAGAAAUCAGGCGGCCCAAUCUAUGCCACUACUGGACAUUAACAUACUGUGGGUGACAGGAGAAAAGAGCAGGUGCCUGCAGCAAUUUCCAGGUAACCCCAUGUCUAACCUCAGCUAAUCACAAGGCAGCACCAGGCCUCCCAGUAAGGGGAGGGGGAGUGGAGGUCAGAGGAUCCAAAAUCUGAUGAGCAGAAUAAAUGUGUGACUUAAGAAAAUAAAAUUAGUCGGCCAGGCGCGAUGGCUCACGCCUGUAAUCCCAGCACUUUGGGAGGCCGAGGUGGGUAGAUCACAGGGUCAGGAGAUCGAGACCAUCCUGGCCGACAUUGUGAAACCUAGUCUCUACUAAAAAUACAAAAAUUAGCUGGGCGUGGUGGCAUGCGCCUGUAUUCCCAGCUACUCAGGAGGCUGAGGACGAGAAUUGCUUGAACCUGGGAAGCGGGGGUUGCAGUGAGCCGAGAUCGUGCCACUGCCCUCCAGCCUGGGCCACAGAGCAAGACUCUGUCUCAAAAAAAAAAGAAAAGAAAAUUAGUCAUUAUCUAAUAUUCAUGACCUAUAACAACAGAUGGAUACAUAACUGGUAAAUGAAUGAAUGAAGAUUAUUUAAUAUUAAUUUUCUAUCUGUUACUGGAGGAUUCUAUAGCACAGGGCAUUCGCAAUCCCCUUUUAUCUUAUUAUGAGAAUAAACAAGAAGUUGGCAGAGACUGGA